rnacentral:rRNA from 1 species
UACCAGACUCCUACGGGAGGCAGCAGUGGGGAAUAUUGGGCAAUGGGCGCAAGCCUUACCUAGCAAUACCGCGUGAGUGAAGAAGGUCUUCGGAUUGUAAAGCUCUUUGAUCAGGGACGAACAGAUGACGGUACCUGAGGAAUAAGCCACGGCUAACUACGUGCCAGCAGCCGCGGUAAUACGUAGGUGGCAAGCGUUAUCCGGAUUUACUGGGUGUAAAGGGCGUGUAGGCGGGGACGCAAGUCAGAUGUGAAAACCACGGGCUCAACCUGUGGCCUGCACUUGAAACUGUGUUUCUUGAGUACUGGAGAGGCAGACGGAAUUCCUAGUGUAGCGGUGAAAUGCGUAGAUAUUAGGAGGAACACCAGUGGCGAAGGCGGUCUGCUGGACAGCAACUGACGCUGAGGCGCGAAAGCGUGGGGAGCAAACAGGAUUAGAUACCCCCGUAUGA